CUUGGACUCCAGCUCCCACCGUGCUGGAGGGAACUUCGCCUCCGGUCACUUUUCCGCUUCCUUCUGCGCGCUGCGUUUCCCCGUUUGAGGAAGAACUCGGCGGGGUCGCUGCAGAUAAGCCGGUGCUGGCGCAGCGUGGAGCCCGGGUGGGACGGGGAGCGGCGGACAUUAAAUGCAAAGUGAUUAAUAGGUAAAAGAAUCUCAUCUGGAGGACAUCAUUGCUAACCUGCCAGUUUUAGAAACAAAAUAAGCCCUUCUGUCAAGAAGACCUGAAAUAAAGCUGUAUUAAGACCACCAUCAAUUCAUAGAAGAGAUUAUGCAGGUCGGUUUUCUGAAUUCUCUGUGUUCACUCUGGACCUCUGUAUAGGGACCCUGAGUGAUCAGCUCUUAAGAGGACUAAAACCAUGGCCUUUUGAUGGAGACUUUGCUGGGGAUGGAGACUUCCCUGGGUUUGCAGCCUCCAAGCCAGACAUUUUAUCUGCCACAAACUCCAGAAUUCCCCGAGACCUGCAGCAGCAGAAAUACCCAGACACUUGAGAGUAGUAACUCACCACCUGAGCUUGGGGGCAUUUCAGUGAUACCUUCAACUCAGACUUCUAGUAAUCUCUUGGCACUGCCUCCAUAUGAAAAUGAGGAAAAGACGGGGAACAACAAUUUGAAGGAUAUUAAAACCAAGCCUUCAAAGCCUCUGGAUGCCUCCCAGAUCCCCACAGAAGACCAAGACGAUGCACUCCUCCCUUUACAAGUCCCUGGUAUUCACCAGCUCCAGGCCUGCAUUGAUUCCCCUUAGCCAAGAGAGGCAGCCUGGUUCUGAAGACACUGACCUGGGAAACAACAGCCUGAGCCCUGAGGACCAAGGGACACUGGGAAAUGAGACUGAAUCAAGUGGCGGUUUUACAAAUGUUGCUGCCCUAGUGGGGGACAGUGACCUUCCUCAGCUGUUCAAGUGCCUUCAAAGACCUUGAUCACUUUGAAGGUCCCGAGGUGAUCAAAGCCAAAGGUAACAGAUCCAUCGAGUCAAACCAGGUGUGGGAAAGGUCAUGUGCCAAAACGGGGUCCUCUGGUCAAGCCAGGAAGAACAAACAUAAAGCCUCUGAGCCUCUCAGUGGUGCACCCAAGGCCAAAAUCCAGCCAAAGGAUCCAGAUGGUCUGUUAGGGGGAGACGUGAGUAUUCGCAGUGUUGCAGAUGGUGACAAGGCCCCUGUGACCACAUCCAAGCAUUCUAACUUCAAAUCUCUGAAAGCAGCAUCGAGCAGGACCAGCAAAACCAGGAAAAGACUGAACGAAUCAGAAAAAGCAACUCCAAGAAGCUGCAGGGGCUAAGCAGUCUGGGAGUAAAGUCAUGGCAGAAGAAAAGCCAACCAUUCCCAAGAUGAAGUGGAAGAAAAAUCAACCUCAGCUCAGCCAGGAGAACUUCAAAAAACCUCAAAGCAGCCUAGCCAUGCACAUGCUGGAGUCUGUGCAGGGUUUUCAUACACCAGGGAAGAAGACUGAUAGGAAACCUAGAUUCUCUUCUUCCUGUGUCUUGGGAAAUUAUAGGAUCCCCAAACACCCCCAGAUGUCCCCAGCCACCAAACCAUGGCUGAAUACUCCACAUGAGGUUCAAGGUCCUGAGAAAACUCACGUCAAAGCCCAGAAACCAGAGGGCAGUGUCGAAAAACACUGUCCAUCUCCUUCCCAGGAUGAACAGCCACUUCCUAACAAGUUCAAGUUGGUGCCUUUGCCUUUGCCUGUUCUGAUUGAGGAGAGGACUCCAAUUUGUUGAGCUCCUCAAAGGCCACAGUCUCUGGCCUCACACUGGCCAGCUUUGGCUUCCUCUACAUGGCCUGGUUCUACUGAUGCAGCACGAACUGCUGCAGUCGGUGUGCCUCUGCAAGCUCCUGCAUCUUUGUCAGGUCCUGCCUGCUCAUCUCAUCCUGUGUUGGCCAACUCAACCCAACCAGGCCUGAGCAACUCUACCCAGCCUAGGGUCCCCCCGUCUGCUGCUUCUAGACCUGUACCCAGAAAACAUCAUCUCGCACUUCCCUCCAGCAGGAGCCCCUUCCCACUGCUGUGCCCCAGCACGAGCCUCCACCCAAGCCUCAAACCCAGCUUCCACCCUAAGAAUUCUGCUUCCAACCAUGUCCAUGGAGGAAACCCUAUAUUUCUGGACCAGUAAUGUCAAAGCCCAUCACAGAAGAACAGAGGCCAGAGCAUGAGGCUAUGAAUAGGCAGGUUCAACAAGAAUGAAAAAAUGCUGCCAAAUACACCACUUUGGGAAAAGUACAGCUUUUUAUUGAGAGGGAAAAGGAAAUGGAAAUUGCUGACUGCUAUGGCUAUGCAAUAUAAGAGCUGACAGGACUGUCGGUGCCACUUCGGUUACCAAGUGUAGAUAGAUAUAAGUUUCCACACAUAGAUAGAUAGAUGUAAAUUCCCAGAUGUAGGUAGAUAGAUAUAAGCUUCUCUAUUUAUUCUGAUAUAUUUUAAAACAGUAAAACAAUAAACGUAAUAGAAU